AGGAGAGCCGGAUGUAGGAGAGAUGGCCCGGUGCUGAGAGCUCCCGGCAGGUGCGAACGUCCCACUUCUGCUAACUGGAGCAGCUUCAGUGCCGCUAGGAUUGUGUGGUUCUCUGGUCUCUCUCUGGUCACUGAUGAACCUGUGCACAGACCCAGCCACGGAAUCUGCUUUCUCUAAUGAUGAGCACAACUCCAAACUGAUAGAAUUGUCAGCACUGCCCACCUUCACACCACUGCAAUCGCUACUUCUGCUGACAUCAGAACAGAAAAGGUACCAGUCCUACUGAGUUGGAGUUGUGGGGGGGUGUGGCUGGGAGCACCUCCAGGGAAGAAUGACAAAGACUACAAAUGUUCAUAUCCAAAUUUCAGCAGUUUUCCUAAGAAUAAAAGCUUCUCAAAUUGUC